UACAGAGGUCUCAAGCGUUAUCCGGAUUCACUGGGUUUAAAGGGUGCGUAGGUGGGCAGGUAAGUCAGUGGUGAAAUCUCCGGGCUUAACCCGGAAACUGCCAUUGAUACUAUCUGUCUUGAAUACCGUGGAGGUGAGCGGAAUAUGUCAUGUAGCGGUGAAAUGCUUAGAUAUGACAUAGAACACCAAUUGCGAAGGCAGCUCACUACACGAAUAUUGACACUGAGGCACGAAAGCGUGGGGAUCAAACAGG
rnacentral:rRNA from 1 species